AACGCUAGCUACAGGCUUAACACAUGCAAGUCGAGGGGCAGCGCAGGAAGAGCUUGCUCUUCUGGGCGACGACCGGCGAAUGGGUGAGUAUCGCGUAUCCAACCUGCCCUGUGCUCAUGGAUAGCCCUUGGAAAUGAGGAUUAAUACAUGAUAGUCUGGAAAUUCCGCAUGGUCUUUCCAGUAAAGUUAGACGGCACAGGAUGGGGAUGCGUUCCAUUAGGUUGUUGGCGGGGUAACGGCCCACCAAGCCUAUGAUGGAUAGGGGUUCUGAGAGGAAGGUCCCCCACAUUGGUACUGAGACACGGACCAAACUCCUACGGGAGGCAGCAGUGAGGAAUAUUGGUCAAUGGGCGAGAGCCUGAACCAGCCAAGUAGCGUGCAGGAUGACGGCCCUAUGGGUUGUAAACUGCUUUUAUAAGGGAAUAAAGUGAGCCUCGUGAGGCUUUUUGCAUGUACCUUAUGAAUAAGGACCGGCUAAUUCCGUGCCAGCAGCCGCGGUAAUACGGAAGGUCCGGGCGUUAUCCGGAUUUAUUGGGUUUAAAGGGAGCGUAGGCCGGAGAUUAAGCGUGUUGUGAAAUGUAGGCGCUCAACGUCUGCACUGCAGCGCGAACUGGUUUCCUUGAGUACGCACAAAGUGGGCGGAAUUCGUGGUGUAGCGGUGAAAUGCUUAGAUAUCACGAAGAACUCCGAUUG
rnacentral:rRNA from 1 species